rnacentral:rRNA from 1 species
CAAGUCGAACGGCAGCGGGUCCUUCGGGAUGCCGGCGAGUGGCGGACGGGUGAGUAAUGCAUCGGGACCUGCCCAGACGUGGGGGAUAACGUAGGGAAACUUACGCUAAUACCGCAUACGUCCUACGGGAGAAAGCAGGGGACCUUCGGGCCUUGCGCGGUUGGAUGGACCGAUGUGCGAUUAGCUAGUUGGUGAGGUAAUGGCUCACCAAGGCGACGAUCGCUAGCUGGUCUGAGAGGAUGAUCAGCCACACUGGGACUGAGACACGGCCCAGACUCCUACGGGAGGCAGCAGUGGGGAAUAUUGGACAAUGGGCGCAAGCCUGAUCCAGCAAUGCCGCGUGUGUGAAGAAGGCCUUCGGGUUGUAAAGCACUUUUAUCAGGAACGAAACACUGUCGGCUAAUACCCGGCGGGACUGACGGUACCUGAGGAAUAAGCACCGGCUAACUUCGUGCCAGCAGCCGCGGUAAUACGAAGGGUGCAAGCGUUAAUCGGAAUUACUGGGCGUAAAGCGUGCGUAGGCGGUUGCUUAAGUCUGCUGUGAAAUCCCCGGGCUCAACCUGGGAAUGGCAGUGGAUACUGGACAGCUAGAGUGUGUCAGAGGAUGGUGGAAUUCCCGGUGUAGCGGUGAAAUGCGUAGAGAUCGGGAGGAACAUCAGUGGCGAAGGCGGCCAUCUGGGACAACACUGACGCUGAGGCACGAAAGCGCGGGGAGCAAACAGGAUUAGAUACCCUGGUAGUCCACGCCCUAAACGAUGCGAACUGGAUGUUGGUCUCAACUCGGAGAUCAGUGUCGAAGCUAACGCGUUAAGUUCGCCGCCUGGGGAGUACGGUCGCAAGACUGAAACUCAAAGGAAUUGACGGGGGCCCGCACAAGCGGUGGA